GAAUCCGGAUAUAGACUGGCUCCAAUGCGGAUACCGGACACCGGAUGGGAAACAAAAAAAAAAUAUGUAACCCUGCAAAUUACCAUUCAAAGAAACUACAUUUAUGUGUUCCACUAUCAAAUCCUAUUUUAUGUGGCAAACUUUAUUUUUAGUCAACAACAACAAACCCAGUGAAACCACACAAGUGGGGUCAGGGAAGGGUAGUGUGUACGCACACCUUGCCCAUAUCUUAUGAAGGUAGAGAGGUUGUUUCUGGUAGUGUGUACGCAGACGUUACCCCUACCUUAUGAAGAUAGAGAAGCGAUUUCCGGUAGACCCUCGGCUCAAGAACAGAAAACUUUUCUAUAUAGAAACAAUUCAACUUUAGACUUUCUAUUUACCCUUACCGAGGAUUUAUAUCCAUACAAAUGUCUCUAACUUAAUUUAGACCACAAACUUCAAGAUUCCGUCUUUCUUUCUUACACUUCGUGUUCAAUCAAACAAUGUCAUACAAAUUGAGAAGGAGGGAGUAGAACUUAUAUAUAUAUACAAACCUGAAGAAGCAACUUGGGUAAUUCUAGUGCUAUGAAUUGGUCUUUGUUUGGAGGCCUAAUACAUUAUAAACAAACAAAAAACAUAAGCUUACAACUAAAAUGAAACAGUAUAGCAAAAAUGGGAAGAAAACAGAAUUAAAGAAAUGGGGAAUGUACCAAGAAUAGAAAACCAGAGUCUGCAACACUACAAGCCAUGUCAAAUUAUAGAGCAGAUUUUGUAAUUCAAGAAUUCACAAAAUUAAAAACCCCACUUAGCUAGUAUGAUUCUUUAGCCCUUUUUUUUCUCACCCCUUACCAAAAUAACCAAUAAAAAUUGGUUCUUUGAAGAUAAAGGGUGAAGGGUAGAGAAAAGACCAAGAACUUUAUUUGUGUUGCAGUAGUAGCCUAAGGAGGUAAAAAAAUUCACAUGGGAAUAUU
rnacentral:lncRNA from 1 species